rnacentral:rRNA from 1 species
UUGACCUCGGAUCAGGUAGGGAUACCCGCUGAACUUAAGCAUAUCAAAAUC